rnacentral:rRNA from 1 species
UACGGAGGGAGCUAGCGUUGUUCGGAAUUACUGGGCGUAAAGCGCGCGUAGGCGGCUUUGUAAGUUAGAGGUGAAAGUCGGGGGCUCAACCCUCGAAUGCCGGUGGAUACUGUCGGGCUAGAGUGCGGAAGAGGCGAGUGGAAUUCCUGGUGUAGCGGUGAAAUGCGCAGAUAUCAGGAGGAACACCUAUUGCGAAGGCAGCUCGCUGGGACGUAACUGACGCUGAGACGCGAAAGCGUGGGGAGCAAACAGG